UUAAAAACUGUAUGGCUUUCUUUGGCAUACCCAAAUUGCCAGAAUCACUACUCUUGUGCUUUGGGGCCAUUAUUAAGUAAAAUAAGGAUUACUUGAGCAUAAGCACAAUGAUACUGCAGCAGUAGAUGUGACAACUGAAAUGGCCACUAAGUGCCUAGCGGUGAUGAGUAGUGUAUGCAGUGUGAAUACACUGGACAAAGGAAUAGUUCACAUCCUGGGUGGG